GUGGUGAAACUUUUGAUCUUGUGAAGUUUGUGUAUUUGUACACUUGUGUAUGCUGUAGUCUGCGAUUUUGUUAUGGACAGGAACAAAGAGCCAACGUGAAAUUUGGCGUAAAACUUGGGAAGUCUGCUGUAGAGAGAUUGAGCAUGCUUCAGGAA